GACGAACGCUGGCGGCGUGCCUAACACAUGCAAGUCGAACGGAAGAACUAUUUGGAGAGACAUUCUGACUUUCCCUCAAACCCUGACUCCUUUUUGGUAGAAGGGGAGAAGACCCGCUUGGUCACGAAGUGACUGGGCUUUGCCCACGGGUCGGAUGAGGGGAAACGAGGCGUUUCCCCUCCAUAGCUCUUUAGUGGCGGACGGGUGAGUAACACGUUGGUACAUGCCUCGAAGUGGGGAAUAACUGCCCGAAAGGGUGGCUAAUACCGCAUGUGAUCGCAAGAUUAAAGCAUUUAUGCGCUUCGAGAGUGGCCUGCGUCUGAUUAGCUAGUCGGUAGGGGUAAAGGCCUACCAAGGCGACGAUCAGUAGCUGGUUCGAGA
rnacentral:rRNA from 1 species